UACAGAGGGUGCAAGCGUUAAUCGGAGUUACUGGGCGUAAAGGGCGCGUAGGCGGUGAUAUGAGUGUGAUGUGAAAGCCCCGGGCUUAACCUGGGAAGUGCAUCGCAAACGAUAUGACUAGAGUAUAUGAGAGGGUGGCGGAAUUUCCGGUGUAGCGGUGAAAUGCGUAGAGAUCGGAAGGAACGUCAAUGGCGAAGGCAGCCACCUGGCAUCAUACUGACGCUGAGGCGCGAAAGCGUGGGGAGCGAACAGG
rnacentral:rRNA from 2 species